GACAGAGGGUGCAAGCGUUAAUCGGAAUUACUGGGCGUAAAGGGCGCGUAGGCGGGUAGUUAAGUGAGAUGUGAAAGCCCUGGGCUCAACCCGGGAAUGGCAUUUCAAACUGAUUAUCUGGAGUAGGGUAGAGGGGUGUGGAAUUCACGGUGUAGCGGUGAAAUGCGUAGAUAUCGUGAGGAACAUCGAAGGCGAAGGCAGCACUCUGGGCCCAUACUGACGCUGAGGCGCGAAAGCGUGGGGAGCGAACAGG
rnacentral:rRNA from 1 species